AGUGAACGCUGGCGGUAGGCCUAACACAUGCAAGUCGAACGGCAGCACAGUAAGAGCUUGCUCUUACGGGUGGCGAGUGGCGGACGGGUGAGGAAUACAUCGGAAUCUACUUUUUCGUGGGGGAUAACGUAGGGAAACUUACGCUAAUACCGCAUACGACCUACGGGUGAAAGCAGGGGAUCUUCGGACCUUGCGCGAUUGAAUGAGCCGAUGUCGGAUUAGCUAGUUGGCGGGGUAAAGGCCCACCAAGGCGACGAUCCGUAGCUGGUCUGAGAGGAUAGUCAGCCACACUGGAACUGAGACACGGUCCAGACUCCUACGGGAGGCAGCAGUGGGGAAUAUUGGACAAUGGGCGCAAGCCUGAUCCAGCCAUACCGCGUGGGUGAAGAAGGCCUUCGGGUUGUAAAGCCCUUUUGUUGGGAAAGAAAAGCAGCAGGUUAAUACCCCGCUGUUCUGACGGUACCCAAAGAAUAAGCACCGGCUAACUUCGUG
rnacentral:rRNA from 1 species